UACGUAGGGGGCAAGCGUUAUCCGGAAUCAUUGGGCGUAAAGAGCUCGUAGGCGGUUCAGCAAGUCGGCUGUGAAAGUCCAAGGCUCAACCUUGGAAAUGCAGUCGAUACUGCUGUGACUAGAGUCUGGUAGAGGAGUAUGGAAUUCCCGGUGUAGCGGUGAAAUGCUUAGAUAUCGGGAGGAACACCAGUGGCGAAGGCGGUGCGCUGGGCCUCGACUGACGCUGAGGAGCGAAAGCAUGGGUAGCAAACAGG
rnacentral:misc_RNA from 1 species